AGAGUUUGAUCAUGGCUCAGAACGUACGCUGGCGGCACGCCUAACACAUGCAAGUCGAACGAAGUAGCAAUACUUAGUGGCAGACGGGUGAGUAACAUGUGGGUAUCUGCCCUUUGGCCUGGAAUAACACGAGGAAACUUGUGCUAAUACCGGAUAAGUCUUUACGGAGAAAGCUUUAUGCACCAUUGGAUGAGCCCGCACUUGAUUAGUUUGUUGGUGGGGUAAUGGCCUACCAAGACUGUGAUCAAUAGCUGAUUUGAGAGGAUGAUCAGCCACAUUGGGACUGAGACACGGCCCAAACUCCUACGGGAGGCAGCAGUGGGGAAUCUUGCACAAUGGAGGAAACUCUGAUGCAGCGAUGCCGCGUGAGUGAAGAAGGCCUUUGGGUUGUAAAGCUCUUUCGUCGGGGAAGAAAAUGACUGUACCCGAAUAAGAAGGUCCGGCUAACUUCGUGCCAGCAGCCGCGGUAAUACGAAGGGACCUAGCGUAGUUCGGAAUUACUGGGCUUAAAGAGUUCGUAGGUGGUUGAAAAAGUUGGUGGUGAAAUCCCAGAGCUUAACUCUGGAACUGCCAUCAAAACUUUUCAGCUAGAGUUUGAUAGAGGAAAGCAGAAUUUCUAGUGUAGAGGUGAAAUUCGUAGAUAUUAGAAAGAAUACCAAUUGCGAAGGCAGCUUUCUGGAUCAUUACUGACACUGAGGAACGAAAGCAUGGGUAGCGAAGAGGAUUAGAUACCCUCGUAGUCCAUGCCGUAAACGAUGUGUGUUAGACGUUGGAAAUUUAUUUUCAGUGUCGCAGCGAAAGCGAUAAACACACCGCCUGGGGAGUACGACCGCAAGGUUAAAACUCAAAUGAAUUGACGGGGACCCGCACAAGUAGUGGAGCAUGUGGUUUAAUUCGAAGAUACGCGCAGAACCUUACCAACACUUGACAUGUUCGUCGCGACUUUAAGAGAUUAAAGUUUUCGGUUCGGCCGGACGAAACACAGGUGCUGCAUGGCUGUCGUCAGCUCGUGUCGUGAGAUGUUGGGUUAAGUCCCGCAACGAGCGCAACCCUCACUUUUAGUUGCCAUCAUUUAGUUGGGCACUCUGAAAGAACUGCCAGUGAUAAGCUGGAGGAAGGUGGGGAUGACGUCAAGUCCUCAUGGCCCUUACGUGUUGGGCUACACACGUGCUACAAUGGUAUCUACAACAGGAAGCAAAACAGCGAUGUUAAGCAAAUCCUUAAAAGAUACCUCAGUUCGGAUUGCACUCUGCAACUCGAGUGCAUGAAGCUGGAAUUACUAGUAAUCGUGGAUCAGCGUGCCACGGUGAAUGCGUUCCCGGGUCUUGUACACACCGCCCGUCACACCAUGGGAGUUGGUUCUACCUUAAGGCAAGGUUUUAAACCCUUGACCACGGUAUAGUCAGCGACUGGGGUGAAGUCGUAACAAGGUA
rnacentral:rRNA from 1 species